CGUACGAUACGAGUUUGAUCAUGGCUACAGAACGAACGCUGGCGGCAUGCCUAACACAUGCAAGUCGAACGAAGGCUUCGGCCUUAGUGGCGCACGGGUGCGUAACGCGUGGGAACCUGCCCCUCGGUUCGGAAUAACAGUUAGAAAUGACUGCUAAUACCGGAUGAUGACUUCGGUCCAAAGAUUUAUCGCCGAGGGAUGGGCCCGCGUAGGAUUAGCUAGUUGGUGGGGUAAAGGCCUACCAAGGCGACGAUCCUUAGCUGGUCUGAGAGGAUGAUCAGCCACACUGGGACUGAGACACGGCCCAGACUCCUACGGGAGGCAGCAGUGGGGAAUAUUGGACAAUGGGCGAAAGCCUGAUCCAGCAAUGCCGCGUGAGUGAUGAAGACCUUAGGGUUGUAAAGCUCUUUUACCAGGGAUGAUAAUGACAGUACCUGGAGAAUAAGCUCCGGCUAACUCCGUG
rnacentral:rRNA from 1 species